rnacentral:misc_RNA from 1 species
AGAAAAGGUAAACAAUGCAUGUGCUUUGCGUGGAAAGACACUAAAUAAAAAGAGACAAGCACUUGCAGUAAUAACAAUACAGGUAAGUAGUAGACUGGAGUGGAGACGACGGAAAAACAGGUAAUAAAAGAGAUACUACACUGGAACAAAGACGAGACAAAACAGCUACAGGGAAGACUAGAAGCAUCGGCCAGCAUAGCAAAACACAAUGCUUGUAAAGACAUUGCGUUGCAUACCGGCCGACCCCGUCGUCCCCCCUGGUCGUCGAAAUUGGCGUCAUCCAGAGUCGUCAGAGGUAGCUGCAAUUAGCACCUCGUCGUCGUUGUGGCUGUGGCUGCCCUCUUGGAGAACCAGUGGCACUGGUCCGGCCACCAGCUGGGAGCCAGGAGUAGACGGCACAUAUAUUACUGUGGCGACACGGGUCCGGCCGCCAAAGUGAAAUGGAUGACCAUAGGGCACUCUGAAUGCCAUGGCACUGGAUCCGGCCACCAGCUAAGGACGAUGGCGAUGGCAUAACUCGAACGGCACAGUGGCAGAGAUGUGUCCAAUCAGUACACAGCGUUCCAGGAUAUCUGGUUGUCAAGAUGGAUCCGUCUCUGGAGUGGCGGCUGGCGUUGGCCCUAACGUUUCUUGUGGUGGCUGUGGAGCUGGGGCAGCCACUGUUGCUGCUGCCAUUGUUGGUGGAUUAUCGGAUGUCACUGGAACUGCUGGAGUUGCCGUCACUGCCUGGGAUUGGA